AUUAAUUUGACGUAUUUUGACCUCCACACACCUGAUAAUUACUCUAGAUGUAUAUAUUAUCCUUUAUUCACAUCCGAUAAAUAAGAGCGAACUCGACUCGAUUUUUUUUUUGAAUUGAACUUGAUAAAUAAGAGCGAAAAAAAAACAAAACUCAUUUCGAAUUAAAAAUUCAGUUAGAGCGAUAUGUAGAUAAUGAAAAAUUCGACAAACUUGGAAUUUAAUUGUAGCAACAACGGCUUAGAGUUGGAGAUUGAUCUGCUUGCAGAAGAGAAGAUGGUGGCUGCUAUUUUAGGUUUAGACUUUUAGAGAUUGAUUGAUUAUGUUCUAAAAAUCGAUUAAAGCUACCAAGUUAGAAUCCCAUAUACUCAUUGCAAGUUGUUGGUACCAUGGACCGCGGACUGCGGCCCAUGGACCGAACCGGCCCGGCCGGCCUAGACGGACGGGCGGGGCCGACGGCGCGAGCCCACGAGGCCCAACGACAGCAAGUGAAGGCUAUAAAUACCUCCCCUGGUCCAACUGGGGAGGGGGUUGAGAAUUCUGAGAGAGAGACUUGUACUAGGUUGAUAGUGAGCUAGCUCCGGCG
rnacentral:lncRNA from 1 species